AAUUUUGACACAAAAGGCAUAACAUUCUAGUUAGUGAGAUUGUAAGUCUCCCAUCUUUCAUGGUAUUGUGUGGAAACUUUUCCUUUUUUCCUUCCUUUGGAAGAUGUCUUGGUUCAAGGAUUCAUGCUUGUGAUAAGUGGGUUGAGUGUUCUCCAAAGAAUGACUUAAAAAAAAAAAAAAAAAAAAACAAUACUAACUUCUAACUCAUUAACAACUAAUUCAUGCUUGUGAUAAGUGGGUUGAGUGUUCUCCAAAGAAUGACUUAAAAAAAAAAAAAAAA
rnacentral:lncRNA from 1 species